rnacentral:lncRNA from 1 species
CUGCCUCGGAAGCCAUGGUUUGUAAGCAGCAGGGCUUUGCGGCGGCGGGGCUACAGCGAGACCUGCUUCUGUGACCCAGCGCUAGUGUAGGGGUUCCUGCGAAAAGCAGAGAGGAGAAUUGCGCGUCUGGACUUGUCUGGGCUAUCCUCAACCCUCUCCCCAGAGACAUGAAACGGUUUAUUCUCCCGCAGAAGAAAGGGACAGUGGCCCCCGGCUCCUCCAGGACUAGAGGAGAGGCCUCAGGGCGCUGGCUGGAGACGAGGGAUGGGAACCGUGCGCCAUGACAGAGCUCGAGAAAAUCCACCGGGGUGCCGCUUGGGCAACGUGGCGAAAGUGCAACACAGUGUUUUGCUGGGGAUCUCUGGUCUCAACCUAGGAGUCAAAAAGGACAGACUAUGGAAAUGAUGUUAGACAAAAAGCAAAUCGAGUGAUAUUCGAAUUCAAAAUGGGUUAUAAUGCAGCGGAGAUAAUUCGCAACAUCAACAAUGCAUUUGGCCAGGAACUGCUAACAAACAUGCAGUGCAGUGAUGGUUCAAGAAAUUUUGCAAAGGAGACGAGAGCCUUGAAGAUGAGGAGCACAGUGGCUGGCCAUUGGAAGUUGACUGCAACCAGCUGAGAGCAAUCAUCUAGCAAUCCUCUUACAACUAGCUAAGAAGUUGCCGAAUAACUCAAUGUCAGCCAUUCUUUGGUCAUUCUGCAUUUGAAGCAAAUUGGAAAAGUGAAAAAGCUCAAUAAGUGGGUGCCUCAUGAGCUGAGCGGAAGUAAAAACAAAUUGUCGUUUUGAAGUGUCCUCUUAUUCUAUGCAGCAACAACGAACCAUUUUUCAAUUGGAUUGUGAUGUGCAACGAAAAGUGGAUUUUGUAUGGCAACUGGCGAUGACCAGCUCAGUGGCUGAGCUGAGAGCAACCACUUUAGGAAGCUCCAAAGCACUUCCUAAAGCCAAACUUGCACCAAAAAAAGGUCAUGGUCACUGGUGGUCUGCUGCCAUUCUGAUCCUCUACAGCUUUCUGAAUCCUGGUUAAACCAUUACAUCUGAAAACUAUGCUCAGCAAAUUGAUGAGAUGAACUGAAAACUGCAACUCCUGCAGCCGGCAUUGGUCAACAGAAAGGGCUUAAUUCUCCACGACAUUGCCCCACUAAAUGUCACACAACCAAUGCUUCAAAAGUUGAACGAUACCACUGCGCUCCAGCCUGGGCGACAGAGCGAGACUCCGUCUCAAAAAAAAAAAAAGUUGAACGAAUUGGGCUACGAAGUUUUGCCUCACCACCGUACUCACCUGCCCUCUUGCCAGUCGACUACCACUUCUUCAAGCAUCUGGAGAACUUGCAGGGAAAUCUUUCCACAAACAACAGGAGGCAGAAAAUACUUUCCAAGAGUUUGUCAAAUCCUGAAGCAAGGAUUUUUACACUACAGUAAUAAACUUAUUUCUCAUUGGUAAAAAUGUGUUGAUUGUAAUGGUUCCCAUUUUGAUUAAUAAAGACGUGUUUGAGCC